CGCGUAGGCGGCUUUGUAAGUCGGGGGUGAAAGCCUGUGGCUCAACCACAGAAUUGCCUUCGAUACUGCAGGGCUUGAGACCGGAAGAGGUUAGUGGAACUGCGAGUGUAGAGGUGAAAUUCGUAGAUAUUCGCAAGAACACCAGUGGCGAAGGCGGCUAACUGGUCCGGUUCUGACGCUGAGGCGCGAAAGCGUGGGGAGCAAACA
rnacentral:rRNA from 1 species